rnacentral:rRNA from 1 species
AAAGCCCCGACGGUAGGGGAUGGCUCCGCGGCCCAUCAGGUAGACGGCGGGGUGACGGCCCACCGUGCCGACAACGGGUAGCCGGGUUGAGAGACCGACCGGCCAGAUUGGGACUGAGACACGGCCCAGACUCCUACGGGAGGCAGCAGUGGGGAAUCUUGCGCAAUGGGGGGAACCCUGACGCAGCGACGCCGCGUGCGGGACGGAGGCCUUCGGGUCGUAAACCGCUUUCAGCAGGGAAGAGUCAAGACUGUACCUGCAGAAGAAGCCCCGGCUAACUACGUGCCAGCAGCCGCGGUAAUACGUAGGGGGCGAGCGUUAUCCGGAUUCAUUGGGCGUAAAGCGCGCGUAGGCGGCCCGGCAGGCCGGGGGUCGAAGCGGGGGGCUCAACCCCCCGAAGCCCCCGGAACCUCCGCGGCUUGGGUCCGGUAGGGGAGGGUGGAACACCCGGUGUAGCGGUGGAAUGCGCAGAUAUCGGGUGGAACACCGGUGGCGAAGGCGGCCCUCUGGGCCGAGACCGACGCUGAGGCGCGAAAGCUGGGGGAGCGAACAGGAUUAGAUACCCUGGUAGUCCCAGCCGUAA